rnacentral:lncRNA from 1 species
GCAUGACUUUGACACUAUUCUUUCUUAAGCUCAAAAUCAAACAUUGUGUAAUUUUCAAUUUGUCCUUAACAGGUAGGACAUGCACAAAAAUGCUGUCUUAUGAUAUAAUUAAAGAAAAAUUUGCCCAUGCUGAUUUGCCUGUGUGGAUAACUGCACUUGUAAUCUGUCAGGGAAUGGGAUCUGGUUUUGUCACGCUGGUGCAGUAAAUUUAUAGAUCUAUAUUGGCUAUACUGUUUCACCUUGAAGUCUUCUACUUUUAAUGUUGUUUGGGGUUAUUGAAGUGUAUCCUACUAUUAUCCAGCAAAACAUGAAAUGUUUCUUUAUUUCUGCUUUGUGAUAAUGUUUCCUUCUGCUUCUGCGAUAACCAGGCAUUACAUGGUCAAUCGUGCAAGCAACAAGCAUCAUAUGGUAUUCCUGUUGGCCGACCAUCGUAUCACACACCUGGCUUUUCAGGGAGCAAACCAGGAAUUUGGAUCUGCUGCUCAACGGAGAAUAACAUCUAAUAUGGUUCCAAAUGCUCGCAUCACCAACCAUUGUGCUUUUUUGGUGACAACGUUGAGAAGGGGGAUGCGAUACAUUAAGAUGGUCUGAUAUGGUGCUUUGAAAGUAGUGCCUUGGUGGGUUGUUUCUAACACUUGAUUGAUUGUCAGUCUUAGUGAAAAAGUUUAGAAACGCAAUAGCGAACUAAAAUAGAAUGAAAAAAUAUCUUCAAACUCUAGCUAUCCUAAGAAAGCUGAGUAGCAUAAGAUGAGAUGGUCUUCCUAAUACAAGACAUCGACAUCACAAUGUUAUGUAAAUCUCCCUUCCCCUCUGCUUCUCAAAUCCUACCUGUCUCAUUCUAGGCGGAAAAAAAAAAGUUGUGUAAAUACUCUCACAAAUGUUAGAAAGGACGUUCAAAUUUGGGAGUUAUAACAAUUAUAUUGUAUCGAUGUGAAAUAAAAAAGUAAUUGAAAAGUAUAUAAUCAAACCUUAAAGUUUUCUAAAACCAUCCUUAAAUAAUAAUGUUGUUUCAAAUAAAUUACUUUUUAAAGACAUUAUUACUUUUCAAAUAAAUUACUUUCACUCCUGAACUAACUCUAAUCUUGAAAUAAUACCCGAUUGCAGUUUAUGGAAUGAAUUGCGAUGAAACUAUAUUCUUAACUAAUAAUCUCAAAGUCAAUAUGCGUAAACAUUUGUGCUCGAAAAUUAUAAAAUUGCAUCGAAAUUUGAAAUAUUGCUUGAUCAAGAAAUUACAGGGAAAGGGUACUUGGUAAAUCAAACUC